ACAGCGAGAGUCAGUAGGCCAUUCUGACUCAAGGCUGCUCUUCUAUCUUCGUUAUGUUUAAGGCUUGCUACUCAAGUUAUCUUUGACGACGAACAUCACGAGCCUGUACGAGGUUCAAUUAAGCCUAACGUAUCUUGACGCACUGCUGCUAUAACGAAGGUGGAUCCGGGUCCAUGACAUGCACGAGAAGAUACAAAUCCAGCCCCCACGUCAGAUGAUUAAAUUUGAAAGCAUAAUUAUCGUCUUACCGACUCUUACGUGAAGGUUAGAUCUACGAUGGACAAAUCAAAGGAGGCGCAGUACAGGUGCCUCUUACACAGUUGAAUAUAGACGAACGUAGCUGGGGAGCCGUCAAACCUGGAAAGCAUUCGCUGUCGUUAUAGAUACAUGACGAAACUCCUCGACAUCAGGAUUUACCAGGAGAGAUGUGAAAAAUCGAAUGCGCCUUGUCGAUCCAGGGUGACCAAAUCUGCCAGUUGACACGCAUACAAUCUGGGCUUACAAUCCUCCGUACGAGGCCUCAUUUUGGUGAUACUACAGUCCUCUUACCGUGAUUUUAUCUGUCAUAUCACUGUCAUGGCACUGUCAUUUUUCUCGUACGAAGUCGAUUUUUUGUAACCUGCCCAGG
rnacentral:lncRNA from 1 species